rnacentral:rRNA from 1 species
GUAGGUGGCAAGCGUUGUCCGGAAUUAUUGGGCGUAAAGCGCGCGCAGGCGGCCCUUUAAGUCUGAUGUGAAAGCCCACGGCUCAACCGUGGAGGGUCAUUGGAAACUGGGGGACUUGAGUACAGAAGAGGAAAGCGGAAUUCCAAGUGUAGCGGCGAAAUGCGUAGAGAUUUGGAGGAACACCAGUGGCGAAGGCGGCUUUCUGGUCUGUAACUGACGCUGAGGCGCGAAAGCGUGGGGAGCAAACAGGAUUAGAUACCCUGGUAGUCCACGCCGUAAACGAUGAGUGCUAAGUGUUAGGGGGUUUCCGCCCCCUUAGUGCUGCAGCUAACGCAUUAAGCACUCCGCCUGGGGAGUACGGCCGCAAGGCUG